GCCUUUGCCGCCCGGUCCGCCUAUUUGGGUGUGUACUGGAGCGGUGGAGGCUUACCUCGUGGUGAACGGCCAUGUCCUUUACUGGGUGUGGUCGGGAACCAUGACUUUUACUGUGAAAAAAUUAGAGUGUUCAAAGCAGGCUUACGCCCGAAUACAUUAGCAUGGAAUAAUAAAAUAGGA
rnacentral:rRNA from 1 species